GGUGGACCUAUCCCCGGUGAAGAUCUUGGUGGUAGUAGCAAAUAUUCAAAUGAGAACUUUGAAGAUUGAAGUGGGGAAAGGUUCCAUGUGAAUAGCACUUGGACAUGGGUUAGUCAAUCCUAAGAGAUGGGGAAGCCCUGUAUCAAGGGUGCACUCUGCACGAACAUCGAAAGGGAAUUGGGUUAAUAUUGCCGAACCGGGACAUGGCGGCAGACGACAAUGUUGAUUCAGCAGGUGAGUUGUUACACACUCCUUAGCAGAUUUCGACUUCCAUGACCACCAUCCUGCUAUCUUAAUCAACCAACACCCUUUGU
rnacentral:ncRNA from 1 species